GAAGAUGAUCGAAGGUCUUACGGGUUGGAACAACAUGAGGCACUAGCACGCAGAUGGCUUCCAGUUCCCCAGGGAUCCUCUCACCAUCACCAUCCAGACCUCAUGACGGAGAGCCAUUAAUCAGCUGUCCACAUCAUUAAACCACUAAACCAGGACUGAUAUAACAGUUUCAGCUGAGGAGAGUGAUGUCACGUUCAGCCUACAGGAUUACUUGAACACACACACUCACACACGAGCGCGCGCGCGGGGCUCUGGCUGUAAUGUACCGUCUCACAGCAGCCGCUAGAGGGAGCGAUUGCACAGGUAAAAAUUGUGGGGAAAAAAGUAGCCUAUCAUGGAAUGAUGGUAAAUAAGUAUUGUUUUCAAUUAAUUUUCUCAAUGAGUACAUGUGCAUACAGAAAUAAUUGAACAAAAUAAGCAUUUAAAACACUACUGGGCUAAAUUAUGCUAAAACACUUCUCUUCUGACAUCUCUUCUGAAGACAAAGGCAGUGAUAUUCUUUAAAGGCAACAUUAUAUUUCAUAUUUCAUUUCUUCUAUUUUAAUUUUCAAAAGACAAGUCUUUUGUGGUGUCUCUGAAAAAAUGUAUCUCUUCUCUUCUCUGAUGACGAUGGCGGGUCAACCUGUCACUCAUGUGAGAUCCACCAAUAGCAAACCAAAACCAUCCAAUUAAUUAAUGCAAAUCAAGUAAAGAGUGAUUAGUUACAUGUGUCCACAAAUGAUGGCCUCAAAUGUCAUAUGUGAAAUAAUUUAUAUUAUUUUAUACAGUAUAAUUAUAAUUAAUUCUGUUAUUAAUUGUUAAUUUAAAUAAAUACUCUUGAAUGAACAUCAGUCGGAAAAGAUACUUUUGCAGCCCGAGUGUGUAUUCCUGCAUCAAGCGGCAGACAGUCAUGAUUGGCAUCGUCUCCAAUGAAUCACUUUCUGUUCAUUUGAAUUGAAAUAGAUGAGAUUCAUUGAUUACAGGGCCAGCGCUCAAUAAUGUUGCAAUUAGUUUGAAGAGCCUAAUUUUUUUUUGAGUAAUUAAAAACUCAAUGUAGUUUGUUGAUUGAACAAGAUUUUAUUUUAAGU